rnacentral:pre_miRNA from 1 species
AGUGGAAUAACUGGGUCACAUGAUGGUUUCAUCCCUAAUUUUUUGAGGAAUUUCCAUACUGCUUUCCAGAAGGGUUGCACCAAUUUGCAGUCCCACCAACAAU